CAAUAGCGUAUAUUAAAGUUGUUGCAGUUAAAAAGCUCGUAGUUGGAUUUCUGGUGAGAUGGAUUAUGUCUAGGUCGAAAGAUCUUGUUCAUGGUUCGUUUUGCCCUUCUUGUCAGGAACCCGCUGAGAUUCGCGUCUUGUCGGUGGAAUGGCAUCGUUUACUGUGAAAAAAUUAGAGUGUUCAAAGCAGGCAUCGCCGUUGAAUACAUUAGCAUGGAAUAAUAAGAUAAGACUUUGGUGGUCUAUUUUGUUGGUUUGCACGCCAAAGUAAUGAUUAAUAGGGAUAGUUGGGGGUGUUCGUAUUCUAUUGCUAGAGGUGAAAUUCUUAAAUUUACGGAAGACGAACUACUGCGAAAGCAUUUACCAAGGAUGUUUUCAUUAA
rnacentral:rRNA from 1 species